AGCGGAGGAAAAGAAACUAACAAGGAUUCCCCUAGUAACGGCGAGUGAAGCGGGAAGAGCUCAAAUUUGUAAUCUGGCACUUUCAGUGUCCGAGUUGUAAUCUCGAGAAGUAUUUUCCGCGCCGGACUGCAUACAAGUCUGUUGGAAUACAGCGUCAUAGUGGUGAGAACCCCGUAACUGAUGCAGAUGCCCGGUGCUUUGUGAUAUACUUUCGAAGAGUCGAGUUGUUUGGGAAUGCAGCUCAAAUUGGGUGGUAAAUUCCAUCUAAAGCUAAAUAUUGGCGAGAGACCGAUAGCGAACAAGUACCGUGAGGGAAAGAUGAAAAGCACUUUGGAAAGAGAGUUAACAGUACGUGAAAUUGUUGGAAGGGAAACGCUUGAAGUCAGACUUGCUAUUUGGAAUUCAGCCGCAAGGUGUACUUUUCAAUUCGCAGGCCAGCAUCAGUUUUUGGGGGUGGAAAAGGGUAGAGAGAAGGUAGCAGUUUCGGCUGUGUUAUAGCUCUUUGCUGGAUUCAUCCUUGGGGACUGAGGAACGCAGCACGCUUUUUGCAAGGCUUUCGAGCUUUUCGUGCUUAGGAUGCUGGUGGAAUGGCUUUAAACGACCCGUCUUG
rnacentral:rRNA from 1 species